GCGACCUCAGGUCAGGCGGGGCCACCCGCUGAGUUUA
rnacentral:rRNA from 1 species